CCUACGGGAGGCAGCAGUAGGGAAUCUUUCACAAUGGGCGAAAGCCUGAUGGAGCAAAGCCGCGUGCAGGAUGAAGGCCUUCGGGUUUUAAACUUCUUUUAUAAGCGAGAAAUAUGAUGGUAACUUAUGAAUAAGGAUCGGCUAACUACGUGCCAGCAGCCGCGGUCAUACGUAGGAUCCGAGCAUUAUCCGGAGUGACUGGGUGUAAAGAGUUGCGUAGGUGGCAUAAUAAGUAGCUAGUGAAAUCGGGUGGCUCAACCAUUCAGACUAUUAGCUAAACUGUUAAGCUCGAGACCGUUAGGGGUAACUGGAAUUUCUGGUGUAGGAGUGAAAUGCGUAGAUAUUAGAAGGAACACCGAUAGCGUAGGCAGGUUGCUGGGACGGUUCUGACACUAAGGCACGAAAGCGUAGGGAGCAAACGGGAUUAGAUACCCUGGUAGUC
rnacentral:rRNA from 1 species